UCCAACUGCAAAAAGGAGAGGGAUUUUACUUACUAUUGGUUCAAAACAAUUGUGCAAAAACUAUUAGAUCUAGACAGUUUUCAUUAACAUUGGCAUAAACAUUAUUGACCUUUCUCAGGCAUAAACCCAAUUUCUGGCCUUCUCGGAACUCAAAAUGAAUAAGGGGCACACCAAUACAAAUUGAGUAGAGGAAAUAUCCAUGAGUAAUCCCCGGUCAUGAGUAAGUUGUCCGCCGCCUAUUGCCACGAUCGAUCUGUGAGUCAUCAAUCAAAUCCGAAAGCCAAACACACAGCCGCAUUCCAGUGCCUCCACCUGUUUUAUCUGCGGAAUUCGUUUCCAGUUCGAGGGGUCCUAUCUUCCACCUGACUGACAUAUUCGCUGAUUAUCGAAAAAUUGUUCGCUUCAAUUUAUGCAGUUCAAAAGCGUGAGUGGGCGCCACAGAAAAUAAGAGAAAAUAUACAA